UUGAAGUUAAAAGCGACAUUGAUUGCAUCCAAAUGAUGCAUUGAUCAGAUGACAUAGUGUUAACUGUUGUAAUUUCCUAGAUUUUAAUGGUUGUUUGUGUUGUUGUUCUUGUAUUUGUUAUUGUUCUAGUACUUGUUCUUGUUUUAGUACUUGUUCUUGUUCCAGUAUUUGUUUUUGUUUUAGUAUUUGUUGUUCUAAUGUUAGAUGUUUGUGUUUGUUGUUCCAAUGUCAUCUUCUAUUUGGAAUAAAAAGUAAACUUUAUUGAUAAA
rnacentral:lncRNA from 1 species